rnacentral:tRNA from 1 species
UGGCUCAGUUGGUAAAGCAUGGCGCUUGCAACACCAGGGUUGUGGGUUUGAAUCCCAU